AACGAACGCUGGCGGCAUGCCUAACACAUGCAAGUCGAACGAGACCUUCGGGUCUAGUGGCGCACGGGUGCGUAACGCGUGGGAACCUGCCCUUAGGUUCGGAAUAACUCCCCGAAAGGGGUGCUAAUACCGGAUAAUGUCUUCGGACCAAAGAUUUAUCGCCUUUGGAUGGGCCCGCGUUGGAUUAGCUAGUUGGUAGGGUAAAAGCCUACCAAGGCGACGAUCCAUAGCUGGUCUGAGAGGAUGAUCCGCCACACUGGGACUGAGACACGGCCCAGACUCCUACGGGAGGCAGCAGUGGGGAAUAUUGGACAAUGGGCGAAAGCCUGAUCCAGCUAUGCCGCGUGAGUGAUGAAGUCCUUAGGGUUGUAAAGCUCUUUUACCCGGGAUGAUAAUGACAGUACCGGGAGAAUAAGCUCCGGCUAACUCCGUG
rnacentral:rRNA from 1 species